AAAAAGUUUUGAAGUUCAGAUUUUUUCGUUUGAAUCACUUUUUUUUUUGAAGCUCAAAAAGUUUUGAAGUUCAAAUUUUUUCGAUUGAAUCAUUUUGGAACAAACGUACCGUGGUGGGCGGGUGCUUCUCUAUUGGUCAGACAUGUUUGAUUGACAAGUGUCUACACCAACGACGUCUUUCUGACAAAGAAGUCUUGUUCGGCACUCCCCAGGCCAGACAGCUUUUUACCAGCAAGAGGGAACAGCGGUGAAGUUGUCGCAUUGGAAGCAAAGUUGUACUACUUUGUAGCAAGUAGUCUGUGUUGUCCGUGGAGGAGUUGCCCACCAUUUUUUCUCAGAAGGGCUGUUUCAGCAAUUUGCGGGCUUCCAAAGGCCCCUUUCAGACCAGAAGUUCUGCAUGAUCACAAACUCCGGGAGCAGCUAAUCAAGGUUUGCAGAGGGCUUCAAGAUUCUGGGGCUACUGAAAGAGCUCCAGAAAAACCCAGCCGUUGUUCCUGACAUGUCCGUGUGUGAGGAGAAAGCCCUCACUGCCAGGGACAUGAGCCAGUGACCUAUUCUGCUCAGGGCAGCAAUCAACGCGUUCUGGAGAACCAAUUGGUCUGCUUUAGGAGUGACUGGCAGAUUGACAUUAAAGAAGAGGAGGAUGGUCCACCCUCUCUCUUGAUGUUCACCUCUGGAGCCUCUGCCAUCCCUCCACUUGGCUUUUCCUGCCAGCCUGAAAUCCAGUUUCUGCAUGACACCAAGACAAUUGACCCAGAAGCCAAUACUAGUGUUGUUGUCCUGUUGU